GCUAGGUUGACAGGAGCAGGGACCGAGCAACAGGAGCUCAACCCGUCGCAGGGAUUCGAACCGCCGACCUUCUGAUCGGCAAGUCCUAGGCUCUGUGGUUUAACCCACAGCGCCACCCGCAUCCCAAUCCUUGUGUAGUGCAGCCAUUUAGUUGAAUGCUACCCAGCAUAAGGCAGCUUCCUGUGUUUUUAAUUUAAAUGCUUCACCUCAGAUACCGAGCUAAAAGCCCUAAAUGGCCUGGGGCUGGAGAACCUCCCAUUUGUGGCUUCAAGAUCAUUUGAGGAGACCAUCAUCUGAGUUUAGGUGGGGUGGCAAGACCAUGAAAGUGAGCACACUUAGCAAGCUAUGUGCACUCAACUCAAACCUGAAUAGUCCUCUUAAUCUGUUUUAGAAAGAUUGUUCCAAACAUACCCUAAGGAAUACUUUCUUGGUUUCGAAGCUCAGUGCAAAACAAGUCUUUUCUUUCUUUCCAUUUUAAACUUCUUUCUCCACCUCUCUUUGCAGGAUUAAAUUUUGCUAAAUGAAUUCAGUCUGAUCCUGCUGAGACCAAGGUGCUCUUUGAGUAUAAAAGUGGUGCCCAAAUAAAGGCCAGUUUUGUCUCUUGGCUGAAAAGGAGUAUUGGCAUUGCAGCCCAUUACUGCUGAACAGUGCAAUUCUUCAAUGUUGGAAACAUCCUAAGAGAGCUUGCUAAAUAUACCUAUGAAGGUAUCCCUAGAGUCAUAUGCUGCCACAACAUAGGUUUCUCCUUGAAAGCCUCGGAAUCCCUGGAUUAUGAAGAACUCCUUCCCAAGGACGACACAAAUCAAUCGCAUCCUUUGGUCACAGGAACCGAGAUGUGCAUCGCUCAUAUUAUUAAAUUGCUUUCAGGAAAAGGAAACAGCACUGGAAACGAGGGCCGGAUUUAGGUUUGAUGAGGCCCUCAGCUACUGAAGGUAAUGGGGCCCUUUAUAUGUCCAACUGUCCUUUCUCAACAACAAAUUGUCACUGUUUUUUGUAUUGAAUAUAUGCUAUAUAGUAAUUUAUGGACCUAAUAGGUAUCUAAAGCCAUUUGCACAUGUGGCCAUGCAACCAGUCCAUGCAGAAUGUAGGCACCCUAUAUAUAGAAAUGAGUGAACCAGUGAUAUUUUAGGGAGCAGGCUGGCAGGCAGGACCCAUUACUUACAGGAGCCUACACAACACAAAACACUGUUGCUGUAUGUAGGUUUUAUUUUAUUUGUUUUUGGAAAUGUGCAUCCAGCUUUGUUCUUCCUUUAAUUUUUUGGGGGGGACCCCAAGAGAGUGGGGCCCUAAGCUACAGCUUGUUUAGCUUAGACGUAAAUCCAUCACUGCUGGAAACACAUAGAUGCUUCACAAGAUGGUGUGGUAGAUAAAAGCCUCCAGACAAGGAGUGUAAUGUUGAGGCUCAGAAGCACCAUUUAUAAGGAGGAAUUUGAGAUCUGAAGUGACCUAUGCACAGUUUACCCAGUCUCUGUCCCUCUGCUUUGUUAUCUAGUUCCUGCCUCCCAUAUUUGAGGGUACCAUCUUGGAUGUCAUAGGGGACCUUCCAACAAGAUGACAACCAAAAGGGGUAAGUUGGUGCAAUUUCCACUUUGGUGGUCUGAGGUCCUGAGAGCCUCUUCGGCAGACCUCCUUCCCAAGUGAAAUUUCUCCACACAUUCCUAAUGUAUUGCAUCCCUAGUCACUGUUCAGUUUUUACAAGCGAGGAACUAAGGCUCAGUUUAACUUGCUGAAGUCCAUACACUCAUUCCCUGGUGGUGAAGAGAACUAAAAGAGGAUCCAUGGAAUGCAGGUGCUUACACUGGUAUGGACAAUGUGACGUGCUGCAAGCAAAUCAUGGGCCCAUAAUUUUCUCCAUUUCUCUUGUUACAAGGGAAAAGGUGAUAUUAAGGAGGAGUGGGGAACAUCACCCCCUUUCGAUAUUUCCAGGUUCCCCCUUCCCCUGCUCAUUCUUUGCAAGCACUGAUCAUUAGCCUCUUCCGUGACAUUCCUUAAGCCCAACACCUUUGAUAGAGUGACCCAUAAUUGAAUAUGUCAGCCCAAAUUAAAGAAAUUGAGAUCCAGGGUAUCAUAUCUAAAUUAAUUUCCUGACUUUACUGCACUACCAAUUAGGAAAAUGAAAGAUAAUGCUGUUUGAAACUGAAAGGGACACUCUCAAGGCCGAAAGUCUUGUAAAUUACGCAGACCUUGACAGUUGUCCCAUUUGAUUGCGUUUCCACAUGUGUGGGACUUUGUGAAAUGACUCUCUAAUAAUGCAAAUUGAAGUCCUAUCCCUUAAAUGUGCUAGACUGCUGCCAUGAUAAGAAGCCAUCUUAUGUGUAGAAUUUCCUUCACUUCUUACGGUGGAUUCACAGUUUUGAGGUGUGUGCCACUUCAAAGGGUUAUUUGCUGUGUAAAUAAGUACUCAAAUGUGAUUUCCUUUUAUUGGCGAGGAUUUAAAGCAGAUUAAUCUGGAAAUGGGAUGGGACAGAUCUAUGGAUAAGCACAUGUAAAUCUGAGAUGGACUGGAAACAGACUAAGCUGUCCAUCCCCAGUUGCAAAAGGGCUUCCUAAUUUAUUAUUACUAUAUUAUUAUUUACAAUAGUUUAUAAACUUCUUAAUGUUUUUAAAAGCUCUAGUGGUGUACACAACAUAGAAAGUAUAAACAGUAUCAUGAAAACAGAAAUACAACAUAAAACCAGUAAAGCAGUAGCAUGAAAGUAUUUAAAAACAAGAACAGCUACCUGGAAAUUCAGGAAAUUUGCACACGUUUCCAAGCACAAUUCAAAGUGUUGGUGCUGACCUUUAAAGCCCUAAACGGCCUCAGCCCAGUAUACCUGAAGGAGUGUCUCCACCCCCAUCGUUCAGCCCGGACACUGAGGUCCAGCGCUGAGGGCCUUCUGGCAGUUCUCUCACUGCGAGAAGCCAAGUUACAGGGAACCAGGCAGAGGGCCUUCUCGGUAGUGGCACCCGCCCUGUGGAACGCCCUCCCACCAGAUGUCAAAGAGAACAACAACUACCAGACUUUUAGAAGACAUCUGAAGGCAGCACUCUUUAGGGAAGCUUUUAAUGUUUGAUGGGUUACUGUAUUUUAAUAUUUUGUUGGAAGCCGCCCAGAGUGGGCAGGGUAUAAAUAAAUUAUUAUUAUUAUUAUUAUUAUUAUUAUUAUUAUUAUUAUUAUUAAAAUAAAAACAAGAUUUAAUCUUAGGGGUCUAGCGAAGCCUGGGCAAAAAGAUUUCCCUUUACAAAUUGUCUGAAGUAACUGGUGGUUGCUUGCUAUUUAAUGCGUGCUUCCUCCUGAAGGAGCCCAGGGAGGCAAACAUGUGAUAAAACAAUGUUGGAUGAGGAAAGUAUUCAAUAGGCAACAAGAAGGCAACAGAGACAGUGCCUAAUAUUCUACAGGAGGGGUAAUUCAGAGGGUGCCAGAACACUAAAGGCACAAUUCCUGCAUUGUGUGGAAUGGACCUCCUGAUAAGGGGUGACACAAUCAUUCAGGUAUCCUAAGCCCCAAGCUAAAUGGGACUUUUAAUAAUGGAAGUUAAACUACACUUCCUAUCAUUCCCAAUGAAAAAUUUCCCUGUGCUUCCCAGUUGCCCAUCCUAACAUUGUUUUCCUUAAAAUAAAUGAACUUGUUGCGCUUCGAGGUCCCCCAGACACCUCCCAAAGAAAAACACAAUUGACACUUGAUUUUUGUUUAAGGUUUUUGGCAUAAUUUUGGCCACAACUUUAUUCAAAUUACAGCAAUGUGAGUGGUUGCUUAGGCAUUGGUAGCACUAACUGACCCCGCACGGGGACAGCUCUGACAUUCGCACCCCCCGCGAAGUCAGCAAGGGUAAGUCACCUGGGGAGAGAGACAGGACUGGGAACCAUGCCUCACCUCUCCCCAGAAUGCUCUCAUGGGCUCUUGCGUGGCUCUAGCUCCUUGCCAGGGGGUUUCGGACAAAAGCAUGGGGAGCCCCUGGGUUCCUUUAACGGAAAACCCUUGAAGCAGCAGCAGCAGCAGCAGCAGCAUUUUGGAGGGGCAGGCACAGCCAAAUCCAUACCCCUCCACCAACCAAUUCCAAGACCAAUGCCUAACUGCAAACCUUACAAGUUGUGACGAUUUGCUACGCAGUAGGCAAAAACCAAAUGGCACACACUAAUCAGCCAAAUGGACAAAAUUCCUACCGGGCCCCUGCCCCAAAGCAGACGACCCCAUGACAGGCAUAGCAAGGUCAAGCAAACAGCCGAACAUUAGGUAAGGGAGGGCGGGUGAUCCGAAGCACACAGCAAAAAGAGGAAGUUCGUCACUGCGAGCAUUGUAUUUAACAAAUAGGGCUGUCAAUCAACAAAUGGCAACAUCUAGAUUUCCCCAGUAACAGCCCGCCCCUGCUUAAAGGAGGGCCAAACCAUUUGCCUAGCAAUAGUGAGGUGUCUUGUCAGCCCCGCCCGCAACCCGUGCUCUCCAUGAGGGAGAACACACUGAAUUUUCUACAUGUAUUUCUAUAUAAAAUGUUAGGUUCUUAUAUAAAAAUUUGUCUAUCAGUACAUUUCCCCCAUCUGUUUCUAAGAUUUUAAGAUAAUUUGGAAAUUGCAAGUUUGUUCUUUUCCUGCUUCAAAUAUGUAUGAGGGCAAUAAGUCUGCCAAAACUGCAUGGUUUUUGAUCAAUGCUUUAAUAAUUAUUGUUGCUCAUCCUAUCUCAGGAAUGAAAACUUAUAUAUAUAUAUAUAUACACACACACACAUAUAUAUGAAAAAGGGGCUGUAUUUUAAUAGUGCUUUUAAAAUUUCCUUUUUAUCCAAAAAGAGCAAUGAGCACAAAUAUGAAUCAGAAGACUCAAAUAAUAUUAAGGCAUAUUAAAAUCAGUCUGUUAAAUGGAGAUUUAGAAAUACAGUCAUACCUUGGGUUACAGCCGCUUCAGGUUGCAUGUUUUCGGGUUGCGCACCACGCUGAACCUGGAAGUACCGGAGUGGGUUACUUCCAGGUUUUGGUGCUUGCACAUGCUCAGAAGCACUAAAUUGCGCUUUGCGCAUGCACAGAAGCGCCGAAUCACGACCCACAUGUGUGCAAACGUGGCGCUGUGGGUUGCGAAUGCUGCGGGUUGUGAACGUGCCUCCUGCACGGAUCACAUUCACAACCCGAGCGUCCACUGUAGAAGAUCUCAACCAACAGCCGUAAUAAACCCAAGAGAGCAAAUGCUUGAAAGAAGGAAACUGUUUUCAGCUGAUAAGCAAAAGGUCUACGUUCUCUUGGAAGAGACGUAAAUGUUGGAUGCCAAAACUAAGGAGGCCCCUCUGUGUUCCAAUAACAGUAAAGGGUGGGACAACCAUCAGAAUGUCUCCUAAACUUUCAAGGCCAUUGGGUGCACCUUGGGAGAGCAGCUACUCCCUUAGAUGUUCUUCACCCAGGUUGGGUCUCCAAAGUCAGGACAAGCUAGCACCUUGAUUUGAGAUCUAGGGCAGUUGGUCAGAACUGGUGUAACCAGCAUUUUUUCCAUUCGCAUUUAAUCAACAGAUGGACCACCAGCUGCAGUUUUCAAGUGAACAACACUGUAUUUUAAGUAGUCUAAACUAGGGGAUGCUUGAAGUACACAAUCUUUCUGAAUUCCAAUACAAGCUGACCUAAUCCACACCUCCCACACGAAAGCGUGCGUUGGGAAUCUAGCUGUCUAUCAGAUUUCACACUUCUCUGAAUGUUGUGAUAGAGCAAUAUUUCCUUGAGAAUAUAUAUAUAUAUAUACACACACACAUACAUAUUUUUGAGAAAAAUAUCAAACUAUGGAAUUAAAUUCCUAUUUAAAUGCAAUUUUUCCUGCUCUUUAAAAAAAAUUAUCAAAAAAAUCACAGAUUCAUACAGAAACAGGACAGAACAAAUUUAUGAGUAAAUUUGACUUGAGAAGUUUGGGUUCUGUGUUGGAUUUUGGCCUUGCCACCUACUGCCCCUCCAGUUCUAGCUGAUAGCUGCUUCCCCAUCAGAAAACCACAGACUUGAUUCAUAGUUGCAGUUCCCAGAUGGUCCAAGGAGAGCUUGUGGACUCUCCUUGGAGGUUUUUAAGCAGCAGUUGGACGGCCAUCUGUCAUGGAUGCUUUAGCUGAGAUGCUUGCCUUGCAGGCAGCUGGACUAGCUGAUCCUUGGGGUCCCUUCCAGCUCUACAGUUUGGUGAUUCUAUGAUUCUAUGAAUAUAUGACCAUUCACAUCCCACCUCAUAUAUGUAUAUGCAGAGAGACUACCUGACCUUCAUACUUCCUGACCCAUAGCUUGAGAAUAUUGCCAUAACAGACUCUGAAAUUGUGAGAAUGUAUGCUUUCGCUCUGAGAUCAGCUCUUGGCAUCCUUCGGUAAAUGUCAGGACCAUUAGGUGGGGUUAGGGGGGCAUUCGAUUUUAGGCCUACCUGCACUUAGGUAAAGGUAAAGGGACCCCUGACCAUUAGGUCCAGCCGUGACCAACUCUGGAGUUGCGGCGCUCAUUUCGCUUUAUUGGCCAAGGGAGCCGGCGUACAGCUUCUGGGUCAUGUGGCCAGCAUGACUAAGCUGCUUUUGGUGAACCAGAGCAGCGCACGGAAACACCGUUUACCUUUCCGCCAGAGCGGUACCUAUUUAUCUACUUGCACUUUGACGUGCUUUCGAACUGCUAGGUGGGCAGGAGCUGAGACCGAGCAACGGGAGCUCACCCCGUCAAAGGGAUUCGAACCGCCGACCUUCUGAUCGGCAAGUCCUAGGCUCUGUGGUUUAACCCACAGCGCUUACGUAGGCAUAUAACUGGGGUUUUUUUUUGGUUAUUUUUGCUUGGAGCUGAAAGGCACACUGGGUACCUCUAGGCGACCACUGUGUGAACUACCUCAGAAUACACAGAGGACCCACAUAAUGUCAUUAUGCAGCAACAUCACGUUUUGGCCAAUGUUACACUGAGGAUGGAUUCUGCACCUUUCAGCUAUAGUAGCCACCAUUUUAAUUCCAUACCAGUAGUGACCCUUCUCAUCAUCACACGGGCACCAUUUCCUGUUUGGCCCUGGCAUUGCUGCUGCCCACUUCUUACCCUACCACCAUAGCAGGGCCUACACAUCAUCCAAUAACCUCACCAGGGCCAGUGGGGCCAAGUGGGGUCCAUUGUCUUCUGGGCAAGGGUGCUUCAGGCAGGGCCAAACCUGAAGGGAGUGCUGUCGUACUCAGCUUUCCGGCUUCCCACACGCAUCUGCUUAGCCACGGUGAGAACACAAUGAUGGACUAGGCAUGCCAUUGGCCUAACCCAUCAGGCUCUUCUAACAUUCUCAUGAAGGGAAGCGGGUGGUGAUGUGGUCUAAAGCACUGAGCCUCUUGGGCUUGCCAAUCAGAAGGUUCAAAGGUCAGUGGUUCGAAUCCCCACGACUGAAUGAGCUCCCAUUGCUUUGUCUCAGCUCUUGCCAACCUAGCAUUUUGAAAGCACGCCAGUGCAAGUAGAUAAAUAGGUACUGCUGUGGCGGGAAGGUAAACGGUGUUUCCGUGCACUCUGGUUUCCAUCACGGUGUCCCGUUGUGCCAGAAGCGGUUUAGUCAUGCUGGCCACAUGACCCAGAAAGCUGUCUGUGAACAAAUGCCGGCUCCCUCAGCCUGAAAGCGAGAUGAGCGCCGCAACCCCAUAGUCACCUUUGACUGGACAUAACCAUCCAGGGGUCCUUUCCCUUUUCCCUUUACAUGACGCCAACACAGGCACUCAAACUGGGCUCCAUAAAAGCUUCAUAAAAGCAUUAAAUGUCUGUUUUGGGGAGGAUGUGUGGAUUCCUCAUUCUCUACUUCUGUUUCCCUCUGUGCUUCUGAGGAACAGCAUUUCCACUUACCUUCCUGAAGAAUAAAUAAAUAGUUUUUACUAUACUUUAAACUAAAGCACACAUAUCAUAAAAUGCAGCUAUCCAGGGAGGUAAUUCUGUACAUUAGAAAUGUCAUGCUCAAAAUGGCUCAGAUAAAAACAGCCAGACUGUCACUUUGUGUCACUGUGACAAUUCCAUUUAUCGGGUCCAUUAAUUUAAUGGUCAAAUAACAACCCCCUCCCUUCGCUUCUCCACUAACACACAGCACAAAACGCACGCUAAUGCAAAGAGAUGUUAUCAGCAUUAUUUUCUAUCGCCUUUAUUGUUCCCCAUAAAAUCCUGUCACUGGGAUUAAAACUAAUAUAUAUUUGGCCUAGUCACAAAGAAAUAACAUUUUAAAAAUAUACUGUUUCCCCCCCCUUCCAUUAGUCUAUAGCAUUUUAUCUUUCAUCUUUUGAAAUGUACUCUUAAAGAAGCUAAUAGUCGGAAAUGGAAUAUGCUCUGAAUAUGAUUUCUUCCCAGUACUUUUCACAGCAUUUGCAAUUUGAGGCAAAAGCCUGAAGCUGAUAAAUAUUGUUUGUUUAGGGUAGGGGAAAAAAGUUAACAUUCAGUUCAACACAGUGAAUCUCUAGGAUUGCGUCCUACGCCUUCUAUAUAGCUAUAUAGGGCCAAAUUAGGCAUUACAGUGACAGGAGAACCACCACUGCUAAAUCUGGCGAAUCUAGAAAACCUGUCUCUCUUUAUUGAAUUGCCAAAACAUUUCACGUUUCCCCACUUCCCAACAUCAGCAGCCAAGAAUGCUUGAAAGGCUGAGAUGCUUUGAAAGAUGCUUAGAAUGUCAAGGUGAAUUUUAAUCCGGUUUAGUUUAUUUUUUUUUAACUUGUUGAAUGUUUUAAAGUAUUGUUGUAAUCCCCACCCCACCCCGAUGUUAUUGUUUUAUCUCUUUGUAAACCACCUUGAGGUUAUUGGGGUUUGUUUUUUUUUAAAAAAAACAACAACCCAACAACACUAGAUAAAUUGGUAAUAAAUAAAUAAAUAAAUAAAUACAGUGCCUCAUGGAAAUCAGAAUGCGAUGACAUCACAGUUCGAGGUCUACAAGACAUUAUGAAGGUGACAACUGAUUUUGACGUUAAUCGUGAAUCCAGUCGUUUGAGGGAAUAGACAAGCUCCCUGCUUCUCUUGCAUCACUGUUGCCCGUUUUAUCAUUUUCCAUGUUUUGGGAGCCGGACACCUGCGGUGAGGCGCAGAGUGAUGUGGCAGAGGGGCUUGUGGAGGUGGUGCACCCCCACAUGAUGGCAGUCAUGUGAGGAAGAAGUUUUCUUCUAUUAAAUAUUCUGUUAAACUGGGUGAGGCAGGUGGCUUCAACUGUUGUCUUUUCACAUUCUGCUACAGCUAUCCCUGACGUUAGGAGAAAGUAGUCCUUAACAAUGUAUAAAUGUGUGUGUGUGAGAGAGAGUACAGUCAUACCUUGGUUCUCAAAUGUCUUGGUACUUGGAAGUUUUGGCUCCCGAAUGCCACAAACCUGGAUGUGAGUAUUAUUGUUUGUGAACAUUUUUCAGAAGCUGAACAUCUGACGCGGCUUCAACGGCUUCUGAUUGAGUGCAGGAAGCUCCUGUAGCCAAUCAGAAGCUGUGCCUUGGUUUUCAAACCAUUUUGGGAGUUGAAUGGCCUCCCGGAAUGGAUUAAGUUUGACAACCAAAGUACAGUGGUACCUCGGGUUAAGUACUUAAUUCGUUCCGGAGGUCUGUACUUAACCUGAAACUGUUCUUAACCUGAAGCACCACUUUAGCUUAUGGGGCCUCCUGCUGCUGCAGCGCCGCUGGAGAACGAUUUCUGUUCUCAUCCUGAAGCAAAGUUCUUAAUCUGAAGCACUAUUUCUGGGUUAGCAGAGUCUGUAACCUGAAGCGUAUGUAACCUGAAGCGUAUGUAACCUGAGGUACCACUGUACAACUGUUUUUUUUUUAAAUAUUUAUUGAGAAUUUUAAAGUUACAAAGAAAAAAAAGAAGGAAAAAAUAAGAAAAAGAGAAAGAGAAAGAAAAGAGUAGAUAAAAGUAACAAUUAAACAAUACAAAUCAAUAAAAACCAAAAUCAAAAAGAAAAACAAAACACACAAUGCAACACAAUCAAAAAACAAAAAUAUACAACAGAUUUAAAAACAAAUCCAAUAUUCCCAAAUCCUUAACUUUCAUUAACUUAUUUCAUCGACCUCCUCACACCUCCCUUUUCUGUAUUCUAGUUGUUAAUUAUCUCAGCAAAUCCUUUCCAUCUUUCACAAUAUUCUGUCAUUAAAUUACCUUAAUCUAUUUUAACCUUAUCUUACCAUAAAAAACCUUAAAACCUAAAACUUAAAUCUUAUUUAUACCGAAUUCUUUCAACCAUAACAUAUUCUUACAUAAUUCUUUUUAACAUUUCUGCUAAAGCCAAUUAAUUUCAUUCCAACAUUUUUCUGAUACUCAUUAAUUUUGCGAUACUUUUCUAAAUAUUUUUUUUAAAACUUUCUUCCAAUCUUCAUCCAUCGUCUCUUCUCCUGGUCUCGGGUUUUGUCAGUCCUUUCUAUCCCAUCCAUCUAGUCCAUCAACCUGGUGACCUUAUAUCCGAGGCUCUUAAGUCUUUUCCAUGUCCCUUCCACAGGUCUUCUUCAUGUUUAUACCUGUACUUUACUUUGUCUUCUGCUCCUUUCACUCUGGGAGACUCCAACUUGACAAUAUUUUUGUCCCUUCUCGACAAGUCAGCCCCUUUUCCAUAUUCAACACUGAAAUCCAUGUGGUAUUUAAAGGCAUGUUUCAAGGCCCCUCCAAAAUUAGGGGCUCCCACAACUCCGAGCUCCCCCCAGCCCAAAGCCAGACUUGAAAAAUCAAAACAUCUCUGCGUAGGGGGGUCCAUCCAGCCCCCCAUCUCCAAACCAAGCAGAACUCCGUCUCUCCAAAUCUGACUUUUUCCAGGCUCAUUCAUCAAAUCCAACGACUCAUGUUCCUGCUGGGCCACAGCUCCCUCCAUCUCUGCCACCCGAGGUCCAGCAACAGCCUCCUCCCUCAUCUCAUCUGUCAAAGCACAUUCCUGGAUUAAUUCCUAAGUGGGUUCUAUAUAGGUACCCACUGCCUGUCCAAAAUUUCCUAUUGCAACUGUCAUCAAAUCCAUUUUCUCAUGUAACUGUUCCAAUAAAGCACUUGUCUUGCAAAAGGCAAGCACCAGAGCUUCUGAGCACAUUCUUGUUCAAGGUCGAAGUCUGGUCCCACGAUCUUAAUCUUUUACAGCUGCAAAACUCCCCAGUUCGACUUUAAUAACAGUUUCACAAGCUCCCUCUAGGGGAAACAAUUUCUAUUUGUAUCCAUCUUUUUUUUUCUUUUUUUCUUUUUAAAGGCAGAUUUAGCAACAAAGUUUUCCUUUUUCGGAUAUUUUGUCAAAAUUUUGUUCCUUUAAAAAGCGAAAGGGAACAAUGGAAUCAAUAUGUUUCUGUUCUUUUAACUAUCUGUCAAAGACAUUUGUCCAUAGUCAAUGAGCUUCUCCAAAACGUCUGUCUUGACACCCCACUCCCAGGUUCAAGACGGUGGAAAAUUACCUUUCUUUACUCUCUCUUCUGCAGGUUUAAACAGUCUAAAAAAAAGGUUCCCCCCUCUUCUCCUGCUUCCAAGGGGGGGUUCAGUAAUUUAAAAUGAUGAAAAUUUAGUCCUUUACAGACAACUUUCUGAACUCUAGCUUGCCGUGUCUUUGCUUCAAUCUAUCUACAAUAGCAGAAGGAGGACUUCCUGUUUAGACCUUCCCGCUUUCGGUGCCUAAUUAAUAAAUUUCACAGUCCAAUUUUCCGUUCUACUCACGGGCAGUUGUUUGAAAUCCAAUUGUCCACAGGAAAAAGUCAGCACUCUCCGGCAACAGCAAUGCGGCUUCACUCCGUGAAAGAAGCAGUCGAUUCAAAGCACCGCGCCACUCACCCCACGUCGCUCUGGAUCCCCAAAACUGGGUUUCCCCGCGAGUGGAGGGGGCGCAAAGGUGCCAGCCGACUCCCACAUCCACAGGCUUCUCCCACCUGUGGUUUUUGAUGGGUCUCCGCCUCGCCGUGGCGGUUCAGACCCUGUUUUCCACGGAGCGGGUUCCUCCCGAUCGGAGGAAAUCUGCCAUUGCCAGAGGCGCCAACCCGGAAGUCUCCCACUGUACAACUGUGUGUGUGUGUGUGUGUGUGUGUGUGUGGAGAGAGAUAAUGAGAGAGAGAGGUAUUUAGUAUUACUACUGAAAUAGUUUUGAAUGCAUUAGGAAGAAUUGCACCAAAUGUCAAAACCGGGGGUCCUGAACGUAGAAAAGAUCCUUUAUUGUAUUAUUAUUAUGGCUUCUCUGUUUCAAUCCAUAUCUCUGAUUAGUGAGAGACAAAAAUGCUAAUACACAAAGCUCUACAGUGUUGGCUUACCGGUCUGCCGACUGAAAUGCUUGCAGGCUAUUCUGAGGGCUAUGGAUUUUUCUCUCCCUCAAACCGUUUGCAUUGAUAUUUUGUAUGAAACCACCUGUGUCAAUGAGCACGUCAAUAACUCAUCAUCUUUGGGUUCCAUUAUUUUUCUUUAUGUAUCAGUUUCCAAAUACAAUUUUUGACUUUUGAUUACUUCAUAAUGAACUCAUAGGAGUGGGAGGGAUGGUUUUCUAAAAUCCUCCCACGAUAGGGCACAUUUUAGUACAAUCAUGAAAUUAGCUUUGACGAGAAAAUGAAAGCUACAGAUCAAUAUGCCGUUCCUAUAGACAAGGGCCGACACACACAAUUCUACACAACCCAGUAAACUACAUUUGGCAAGUUUAUCACAGGUAGAAUAAUACACAUCAAUAUUACAUAGGACGCAAUUGAUCAAGUUCAUCAGGCAGUAAUUGGUUGUCUUCUCACUGUCCCCCAGAAUUUCAUGAUUAUAGUGACUUGGAACACUAGUUUUGAGAAGCUGUACAUGAAUGUUUCUCUCUUUGCUUUGUGUUUGCAGCUGAAAAUUGGCUCCUUGUGUUUUGACCAUUGUGGAGAAGGAACCCUAGUCUUACUUGAGAAGCAAAGACUUAAUUAUUUACUGGCAUCAAAGCUUAUUUCCUUCCAACAGCUAAUUCAACUGUUAGGCUUCUAUCCCUGGACGUAUUCCAUCAUAUUCAUAGAUAGAUAGAUAGAUAGAUAGAUAACCAACUAAGCUUUACUCAUAGUCAAUCCAUUGAAAAUUUGAAAUUAAUGUCUCAAAUUUAGUUAUGUUCAUUCAUUUCAAUGGGUUUACUCUGAGUAAAAAUUAGUUGAGUACCAUCCUACAGCAGAGUUCUCACUGAUUAAAUUUGGGGGCUCUGGCACAGAUGAAUCUUCUGCAGGGAUUUUUAGGGAAGAUAAGAACAAGGAUGGUGACCUAUCUCAGAUGGGUUCCACACACCUCCCUGCAGCAAGCCAGCAAGACAAUUGGUAAAGUUGUUCCACCUUCACUCUUGGCGUCUUUACACUUGCUGAACUUUGGACCUCUUCGCUGCCAAGAGUAGGAGUGCGGCACAUCAUUUUUUCAGUUAAAUGCUCAGUCAUCACAACGAAGGGCUCAUUAAUUCUCACUCUGCUUCUUGCUGACAUGUCAUUCUGUAAGAAAAUGAGCACUAAGCGAGCCCAUUGUUGGUGCAGUUAACAGGAGACAGGGGGUGAUUUUCUGAGCUCCUGAGCAUUCACUUCAUCCACCGCACCGCUGCCUAAGGAAGCAGCGUUCAUCCAGCUCAUCUUGAUUAAUAAUGAAUAUACAAUAGUUAUUUCAAUUUACUUUAAAAUUGCAUUAAGGAAAUGGUUUCCAGAACAACGUCUUCUUUCAGAGUGCUACCAUCCAGAGCCUGUUCAAAGCAAUUAUUAAUUUUCUAGUUUGUCCAAGACAAUGUUCUCUUGUCAUUAAAACUGUUGAUAAGGGGAGAUCAAUAAGCCAUAGCUGCUGGGGUGAGGUGGUGUGUGUGUGUGUGUGUGUGUGUGUGUGUGUGUGUGUGUGUGUUAUCCCAAGGGCCAAGUGAGGAUCUGCUUGGCAUCUUGAAAGAUGUUCACACAGGGACACUAUAUCCAACACAAUUAGUUACUCAAAUACAGUAAAAUGCAGGGAGCAUCGUUCCAAAAUAAAUUAUGUAUGUAUUACUCCAAAGAACAUUGGUAAUUUAUGAAUUUCUAUUAAGCCUGUUUCACUCCAUUUUUAUUAAACUUGAGAGCUGUGACCUAUCUAGAGAUUCCAGUUAAAUUAAGCUAAUUAAAAAUUAGAAACAGUAAGGGUGGGGAAACGGGAUGCAUGGCUAAUGCAAAUUUAAAUUAAGGAAUAAAAAAAAAAGGAUGGGGCAGUAUUCUUUUUAAUAUUUAAAUACUGUGCUUUUCCCUGAUAUAGCAAAUAUUUCAUCACCAUGUGCACAUUGAAUAAUUCCGUGUUAGUUACUGGGAACGAGUGAGACUCUUCCUCCCCCAACUCCUCCAAGAAGUGUAGCUACUCUUUCCAAAGCUCCUUUAGCUUCUUUUGCAAUUCCUUGGAUGUUUGUCCGAGGAGGAACCAUCAAAGUCACCUUGAUUGUAAUUUUAGGCAAAUUUCAGAAGGGCGCUGGGGACGUGCGUAGAAUUCUCCUGGAAAAUGUUGUCCCAAGUUGCAUGCAGCAACCAGAACUGAUUUGCAUCCCUGUUCAGCUCAAAAGAUGCACUGAGGUGAUUUAUUGGGGUCUGGAUUUACACUGUAAUGCACUGCUAAGCAAAAAAAAAAAUUAUUAAAGCAUGUUCUCCUUCAUGGAUUGCACGUGUUGCGGUGGGGGCCGCCAGGACACUCCAAAGUUGGGGGCGGGCUAAUUGAUUGUUGGCCACUGAUGCGAUUGGGCUUCCCUUGUUGUUGGGAAGAAGUUAAUGUUGCCAUUUGUUGAUUGACAGCCAGAAAUGCUAAAACUCCCUGCACGAGGCUAGGGCUUCCUCUUUUCGCCCGUGCAUCGGAUUGCCCGUCCCCCCUCCCUAUAUUUAGGGUUGUUCGCUUUGACCUUGCUAUGCCUGUCAUGGGGUCAUCUGCUUUUGGGGCAGGGGCCCGGUAGGAAUUUUGUCCAUCUGGCUGAUUGGCUGGGGCCAUUUGGUUUUUGCCUACUGCGUAGGAAAUCGUCACAACUUGUAAGGUUGUGGUUAGGCAUUGGUUUAUGGUUUGGUUGGUUGAGGGGCAUGGAUUGGCUGUGCCUGCCCCUCUAAUGCUGCUGCUGCAAGGGAUUCCGUUAAAGGAAUUGGGGGCUAACUAUUGCUUGUCCACCCUGUCAAGGCGGCUCGGCCCACUGCAAGAGCUCCUGGUUGCAUUUGCGGUGGGCUGAGGGGAGGUUCCCUGCUCCGUCGCAACCCCCAAGUGUAUUCCCCUUUUCUGACUUUCGCAGGCGUGCGGAAUGUCAGUCUGUCCCCCAUGGUGGGGGCAGAUAGUUGCAACCAAUGCCUAAGCAACCACUCACAUGUUUGUAUUUUAAUAAAGUUGUGGCCAAAAUUAUGCCAAAAACCUUAAACAAAAAAUUUGGUGUGAUGUGUGAGUUAUUGGGGUGGCCCUGGGGACCUCGACACGCAAAGGGCUUUUUUGUAAAUGAGGCAAUAGUGAUAUAUACUUUGGGGUCUUACAUGGGCUGGAGGACAGUUUCUGAAGGUUUCAGGAGAGGCUGUUGCUUUCACCUCAGGCCAAAUCCCCUAAGUCCCAGUCAAAUUGACCCACCACAAUCCAGCCCAGCUACUGGAAACAACCCAGCUCUGACCCCCCCCCCCCAAGCAUCUCAGGUUGUACUUCAGCUGCUUGGAGAGUUUAGCUGAUUAAAAACAACAAUAAAUAACCCCUCACUUGUGUAAACUUAAAUUAGUUGAAUGUCCUCCCUAGUGAGAUAUCUCUUUUCCUCGUUACUGAUUUUCAGGAGGAAUUUUAAAGCAUUUAACCAGACAUUUGAUGGCUGGAAGAGACUGCCUCUGGCAACCCUGAAAUCAUUGGCUGAGAGAAUGUGAUGGAUUUUAAACUGUUCUUAGAAUGAGAUAGGUAGCUGUGUUGAUCUGACACAGUUGAGAUACAUAAAAAAUAAUAAAGAAAUGUCCAGUAGCACCUGAGAGACCAACUAAGUUUGUUCUAGGUACAAGCUUUCAUGUGCAUGCACACUUCUUCAGAUACCUUGUUCUUAGAAUGGUUUAAAACUGCUGCUGGGUUUUGUUACUGAUGUGAUUGCCACCCUGGGCUCCUUUAAUAGGGAGGGUGGAAUAUGAAUUGAAAUAAAUAAUAAUACCAUCAACUUUAAAUAUUAAAUGUGAUUCUCUCUCUCUCCCCAAUUCAGAAUCUGCACCACUACAACUAAACAAGUCUACAGCAUAGUAACAGCACAGAACCACAGGCUUGUAGAGUUGGAAGAGACCCUGAGGCUCAUCUAGUCCAACCCCAGUGCAAUGCAGGAAUCUUUCAACCCAGUGUGGAACUCGAACCCACCACCCUGAGAUUAAGAGUCUCAUGCUCUACCACCUGAGCUAUCGCUGUCUGUGCCAAACAAGGCCUCAGAUUUUUUUUAAUUCAAAAUUAUAACAAGACAUAUUAUCCAAAAACAUAUCAUCCUUGUCCCCCCCCAUUUAUCCUCCCUCCCCCUCUCUCACACAACCCCC
rnacentral:lncRNA from 1 species